AGCUGAAAACACCUGUUGUGACCAUCAGAGACAUCUUUUCCUUUCUUUUUGGGAAUGUGCCCUCGUAAGGUGAAUACUGAAAUCCUUGCCUCAUAAGGAAUUGCUACAUCCAGCCAGCCAGCACCGUUAGACACAAAGGUACAAGCGAGAGAUAAAGGGAAGAGUAAAGCCGGAAGAGAAGACAAUGAAUGUUCUUCUUUGCACUGCCACUGCUGCCAUGCUUUUCAUCAUGGCUGAGGCUCAGACUGCUAGCAUGCCUUUUGAGGAAGAAUUAGGUGCCACUCCUGAAGCCUUACCUUUGGCUAUCUGGCUAAUAAAAAAGACUACCAAGUUGUAUAAAACGCUGUGUAAUCUGCGAGGCACAUGUGAUACCAAUUGGAGUCAUCUGCCUCAGGAACAUUUGCUUAUCCCAGAGAUCCAUAGCGAAAGUAAAUGCUACCCCUCUACAUUUGAAAAGGAAGCAUGCCUGGAAUUCCUUGCAGAGGGACUUUUUUCAUUUAGGAUAUUUUUGGAAUACCUGCAGGAAACUUUAUUUCCCAAGAAACCGGAGCUAACUUGGUACUUGUGGCCAGCAACAGAGUUUCUGGCCAAUAAGUUGAAGUCACAGCUGAAGAAUCCUGAUUGCAUGCAACCUAUACCUGACGCCAUUGACGAUGGUCUUGUUCAUAAGCUAGCAAUGCAUACUGGUUGGACACCUGCAAUUCUCAGGCACACCAUACUUAGAAGGUACCUGAAGUUUAUGGAUACAGCUGCAAGUGCAAUUAAGUCCAUAAACACAUCAUAGAUAACAGUAAAUCAUGUGCAUCAACUGGCAUUUAGAAGAGGACAACCAUUUGGACAAAAAAAAUGACCCCGAGUUUACCAGGAAAAAAAUGUUUGAGAAGCUGCACUGCAGCCCACAGCUGACCACAUCCUAAUCUCCCCACCAACCCCAGUGGGCCAAGAUUGAAAGGUGGAAAGGAUUACAGGUGAUGCUAGCUAGCUAUAACAAUCAAUCAGAUCAUCAGUUAGAACCCAUUUAAAGUCUCUCCAGGCAUAAAACACACCUAAAAGUGGAUAAUUUGUGGAGAAAACCUUGAAGAUGCCUAGAAUACUUGCUCAACUGAAGAGAAAGCAGCAGGUGUUUUAAAGAAAGAAAGAAAAAUAGAGGCUUGCAGAGAGAACUGGCAAAACCACUUUUCCAAAUGGAAGCACUUGACUAACUUUAAGUUAGCUUCAGAACCAAACAAAAUAUAGAAAUAUUGUUAUACUUGAGCUACAAAUGGCAACUGCAUGUUUAUUUAUUCUAUGUCCCAUUAAGUCAUCAGAACCCCCAAGCAGGUUACAUAAAACAUCCAUUGUGUACCAAUAAAAAGAGAAAUUAAAAAGAAGUUUUCAAAAUGUUAA